UACGAAGGGGGCUAGCGUUGCUCGGAAUCACUGGGCGUAAAGGGUGCGUAGGCGGGUCUUUAAGUCAGGGGCGAAAUCCUGGAGCUCAACUCCAGAACUGCCUUUGAUACUGAAGAUCUUGAGUGCGGGAGAGGUGAGUGGAACUGCGAGUGUAGAGGUGAAAUUCGUAGAUAUUCGCAAGAACACCAGUGGCGAAGGCGGCUCACUGGCCCGAUACUGACGCUGAGGCACGAAAGCGUGGGGAGCAAACAGG
rnacentral:rRNA from 1 species